rnacentral:lncRNA from 1 species
CUUACAGACUGCAACUUACAAUCGCAACUUCCUCGUGCUUAUUCCGUUCGAGACGAAUUUUACAAAAUUGGUCAGCUCCCGACAGCAUCAGGUGCUUUAUUAAUGGUCUAAAUAGUUGACGAGGGGCACAUGACUACGGAAUACAGCAGCAGCAGCUUUGCAGAGGAACUCAUCUGAGACGUUCUGAGACCCGGUCGCCCACGGCGCUAUUUUCUCCCCCUGACAGAAGGUCAUUUUAGUGGGAUCAUGAUGACUAAUCAGAGUGGCUGUGUGAAAAUGUAUUUGCUGCACUUACUGUUCUGAAGCUGUCUGUGUUCAGCUGAACUCACUCAACUGUGCUGCCUGGACCCUGUUGUUAAUUCUUAAAAUGAAUGUUUUCAUAAUGUGAAGUAGUUUGCC